rnacentral:lncRNA from 1 species
UUAUUAGGAUUUUAAAUUAUGUUACAAAAUAUUAUAGUAUUCAAUCAGGAGUUUAAAUUAUUCCUAAAAUCCAAUGAUAUUCAAUUUAUAUUAUUUAGUAUCCAUUAAAAUCCGUUAAAUAUUCAAAUACUGAUGAAUAUUUUUGGAAUUCAUAAAAUAAUAGAUUUUAAGAGAUUGUUCACUAUAUUUUAUUAUAUAUUUUAUGUCAUUACUGUUGGCAUGACCCGUUACAUAAAGUAGAUAAUUCUUUGCAUUGGAAAAUCAAAUAUUGAAAAGAUAAUCGACUAUAUAAUAAAAAUCCAUUAAAGAAUAUAUUUAUUUGACAGAUUAACGUGAGAAACGUAUAAUUUAUGAUGGGACCCACAAAAUCUAACUAAAUGCAGUAUCAAAAUAAUAUCUAGCAGAUUCUGAUAUGUGCACGUAACGCCUGGUCCAGCUACUAUAUAACGACUGUUGUACAUUCCCAGAGAAUUGUGUGUAGCAAACAUGUCUCCGGUUAAAGAUUGUGACAAGCACAACAAGAUGCAGGGUGUGAUGUGCUAAAAUAUUACCUUUUAAAAUCGCAAGCGCACGAUCACCGUUUUAAUAUUUAAGAUUCGUCCACAGAGAUUAAAAUUAUUUUCGCAACCUAUUAUUAUUAACCUAGGCGGAUUAGAACCAUAUUUUUAGAAUUUCGGGUUUAUUAGCUAAUUAAUGAGCAGGAGAAAUUGACUACUAAUUCGAAUACAACCAAUUAAACUAGAAAUUAACUAAAAUUAAACUCGCAAAUACAAGACUUAAAAGUUACAAAUAAUUAAGAAAGUUUCUGCAUGAUAUCUCUAAAAACUAAGCUAGCCUGUAACAUAUUAUUAUCAACAGAAGAUAACCACGUUGGCUACCCAGCCAUUUACUUAAUCUAAAAGAAAUAUAAAAUGAAAUAAACUAGGCACAUGUACUAAAUACACUCACAAAAACAAUUCCUACACCAAGCUAAACGCGGGGUCACUGAACCUAGUAAACUAACAUGACGCUAUAAAGGAAAUAAAAGAAAACUACAGAAAGUUAUACUCCACUGCUAGACUUAAAAAUAAAAGAAACGAAGCAAGCCAACAACUCGAAAAACAUGAACUAAUCAAAACAACUCGGUAAAAGAACAUGGACUCGUUGAAUUAACUCGGAAUAAACUCGGCUUGCGACACAGCUACUGGCUAAGAACAGACUCAACAAAGCAUAGGAGACUCGACCCACAAACUCGACGCAGCCAAAACAGCCGAUCCAAACUAAGCUUGCAAGAAACGAACUCAGCUUUGGACUCGGGAAGAAACAGGGGACUCAGUAAAAGAAAGCACAGCAGGAAACUAACAAACAAAAGCCAACAAUCGAUUGAAAACUUUGAAAUAAACUCAAAGAAACCAGUCUUAAAACUAGACUAAAACGCAACCAACAAUACACAAACUCAGCAACGGCUCAACUCGGUUAUGCAGCCAUAAAGAAACUAAACCCAGUUUAAACUUACGGUAAAUCAACAUUCGACUCACUACACUACUAGCAUAAAAGAGAUACACGCAGCAAUAUUCAAAUGAACAGCCAUGGUGACUUGGCAGAAAUACAAAUCAACAAACCAGAACUCGAAGCAAAACCCAUCAAUUUACAAACCCAAACAAAAACGCAGCAGCAAACUCGCAGACAAAACCAACAAACUCCGCUAAGUUUGACUCGGAAACUCACGCCUUAGACUCGGACAAACAACAGUGAACUCAGCGAAAACAAAACAAAAACUCAGAGCACCACACUGACUCGACCAGGACUCAGUAACACUACUCGACAUUAACUGAAAACAGAUCCCAUGACGCAGACAUUGACUCGGCGAAUACAAAGCAAAACGGCGCAGCAAAAACCAUUAACUUGACUUGGUAUAAGCAGAGUAGUGGUGAUUUUGAACUUAAACUAAAACAGGGGAAAAGAACGUUUAAUUAAAAAGGAACAGGGGACACAAGAGGAGUAUAUGUUUUAACCGAAACAGAGUAAUAAUAAACUGGGUUUGUUAAACGAGGGUUUUUUUUAAUAGCUAAAUUUUUAAUUACUUUUAUAAUUACUAAUUAGCAAUUUAAGCAAUAAAAUCAAGAACAAGAAAAUUUGGGGUUUUAGAUCUAAACCCUAACACAAAUUGAUUUUGUGCUAGGAUUUAGUUGACUAUUUCAAGAGAUCACAAAUCUAUACUACUCACAAGCUCAAUGAUUCUUCAUUUCCCAAAAGCCCUUAAGCAUAUAUGGUGGUACUAAGAAUCAUAUUACUUGUAGAAAGAAAAUAGAGACAACACAAGAUCAAGCUAAAAGAAAAUUUGCACUAAAAUAAAAAGUGUUUACAAAUAUGGUAUGAAAUUGAG